rnacentral:rRNA from 1 species
GAUGAACGCUGGCGGCGUGCCUAAUACAUGCAAGUCGAGCGAACAGACGAGGAGCUUGCUCCUCUGACGUUAGCGGCGGACGGGUGAGUAACACGUGGAUAACCUACCUAUAAUACUGGGAUAACUUCGGGAAACCGGAGCUAAUACCGGAUAAUAUAUUGAACCGCAUGGUUCAAUAGUGAAAGACGGUUUUGCUGUCACGUAUAGAUGGAUCCGCGCCGUAUUAGCUAGUUGGUAAGGUAACAGCUUACCAAGGCAACGAUGCGUAGCCGAGGUGAGGGGGUGGUCGGCCACACUGGAAGUGAGCCACGGUCCAGACUCCUACGGGAGGCAGCAGUAGGGAAUCUUCCGCAAUGGGCGAAAGCAUGACGGAGCAACGCCGCGUGAGUGAUGAAGGCCUUCGGAGCGUAAAAACCUGUUAUUAGGGAAGAACCAAUGUGUCAGUAAAUAUGCACGUAUUGACGGUACCGAAUAAGAAAGCCACGGCUAACUACGUG